rnacentral:rRNA from 1 species
AUACGGAGGAUCCGAGCGUUAUCCGGAUUUAUUGGGUUUAAAGGGUGCGCAGGCGGCCAUUUAAGUCAGCGGUUAAAUCGUGGGGCUCAACCCCAUUCUGCCGUUGAUACUGGGUGGCUUGAUUGCGGUCGAGGUUGGCGGAAUUCGUUGUGUAGCGGUGAAAUGCAUAGAUAUGACGAAGAACACCGAUUGCGUAGGCAGCUGACCAGACCGCAAAUGACGCUCAUGCACGAAAGUGCGGGGAUCGAACAGGAGUAGAUACCCUGGUAGUCCGCACAGUAAACGAUGAAUACUUGUUUUCGGCGAUAUAAUGUCGGAGGCAAAGCGAAAGCGAUAAGUAUUCCACCUGGGGAGUACGCCGGCAACGGUGAAACUCAAAUGAAUUGACGGGG